CUCAGACUUAGCCUUGUCUGGCUACUAGCCACCAGCUGGAAUGUGGAAACAGGGACCUGUCCAAGGAGUCUGCAUGUCAUCCUCACAGCUAUGGAAGAGACUGAAUUCGUUUAUUCUUCUUUCUGGAUUCCCAGCUCCUGGCCUGCCUAGUGAUUGGAGCAGCCAUGUGACUGAGUUCCAGGUUUCACCAUCGCCUCUGACAGCUGUUCUGAACGAGGGUCACCUGGAACCUUGCGGCCACUGAGGGCAAGAGACUUUUACUGCCCACUACCCCAAAGACAUCAUGUUGGCUGGGCCACUCCACUAGUGCCAUCACAGUGAAGGAGGGCACUAUGCACUGCACCCUCCACCAGAAGAGACACAUGUUGGAGGCAGCAGAUAUGACAUGUGUGUGUGCUGCAGAGUCCCAUUUCCCAGGGGGAUGAAAA